UACGGAGGGUGCAAGCGUUAUCCGGAUUCACUGGGUUUAAAGGGUGCGUAGGUGGGCAGGUAAGUCAGUGGUGAAAUCUCCGGGCUCAACCUGGAAACUGCCAUUGAUACUAUUAGUCUUGAAUUCUGUUGAGGUAGGCGGAAUAAGUCAUGUAGCGGUGAAAUGCAUAGAUAUGACUUAGAACACCAAUUGCGAAGGCAGCUUACUAAGCAGAUAUUGACGCUGAGGCACGAAAGCGUGGGGAUCAAACAGG
rnacentral:rRNA from 1 species